ensembl:lncRNA
GGAUCUUGCAGGGAGGGCUGUGGCCAGGUCUCAGUUCCCUGCACAGCACAUUUCUCGCCAGCGGUGGUCCGGACAUGGCUGCAGCAGACAGCUUCCUGUGGCUCGCCUCGGAGCCCCUGCCUAGGUCGUACUGCUUUGCUGGGUUCUCUCCCUGGGCCUCCUGAUCGCUGGGGCUGGGUCUCUACCGGGACUCUGGGGUGAGACCAGGGCCUUACCAAACGCUCCGAGGAGCUGACUGCAGCGAAGAAGACCCGGGAAGGAACACACCGGACAAGUUGGAAGAGUCUCGCUAUGCAGUUCAGACCGGCCUUGAACUCACUAUGGAGCCCAACUGACCUUGAACUCUCAGUUAUCCUCCUGCCUCAGCCUCCCAAGUGUUGGGAUUAUAGGCCUGCACCAUCAUGCCUGGCAUCAUUAAUAUUUUUUUUAGGGACAUUCAUGUUUGAUUUGUGGCAAUAAUUCACUCAUUUUUAUUGCUUUAUCAUAACUGAUUGUAUAAAUAUACCACAAUUGUAUUUUUGUGGAUAUUUUAUUAUUUAGGCCUUUAUUAAAAAAUGCUGCUAUACACAUUUGCAUACAUAUCUUUGAAUGCAUUUAUGUAAUGUUUCUUUAGGACAUGUCCCUUGGAGUAGAAGUUUUGGGCAAUAAGAUAUGCAUAUGUUCAGCUAUAGCACACACUGCCAAACAGUUUUCCAAAUUAGUAUUCCAAGUUAACCCUCAACAUUUGGUAUUAUCAUUCUUUUUACUUUUAACCAUUCAGGUGGGCGCCUAGUGAUAGAACUCUGCUAUUUUAAUUUGUAUUCUCCCCGUGACUAAUGAUGUUUUCAGUGCCUUUUCCUGUGUUUAUUGACCAUUCAAGCAUCCUGUUUCUAUUAAAUUUUUGUCUUUAGC